UGAGCAAUCUGCCCUUCACAUCGGAAUAACCAUUGGAAACGAUGCUAAUACCGAAUAUGACUUCGGAUCGCAUGAUCUGAAGUGGAAAGCUCCGGCGGUGAAGGAUGAGCUCGCGGCCUAUCAGCUUGUUGGUGAGGUAAUAGCUCACCAAGGCGAUGACGGGUAGCCGGCCUGAGAGGGCGACCGGCCACACUGGGACUGAGACACGGCAGA
rnacentral:rRNA from 1 species